rnacentral:rRNA from 1 species
UACGUAGGGUGCGAGCGUUGUCCGGAAUUACUGGGCGUAAAGAGCUCGUAGGUGGUUUGUCGCGUUGUUCGUGAAAACCGGGGGCUUAACCCUCGGCGUGCGGGCGAUACGGGCAGACUGGAGUACUGCAGGGGAGACUGGAAUUCCUGGUGUAGCGGUGGAAUGCGCAGAUAUCAGGAGGAACACCGAUGGCGAAGGCAGGUCACUGGGCCGCAACUGACGCUGAGGAGCGAAAGCAUGGGGAGCGAACAGG